CUUCCGUAGGNNAACCUGCGGAAGGAUCAUUACAGAAUGAAAAGUGCUUAACUGCAUUUUUUCUUACACAUGUGUUUUUCUUUUUUUGAAAACUUUGCUUUGGUAGGCCUUCUAUAUGGGGCCUGCCAGAGAUUAAACUCAACCAAAUUUUAUUUAAUGUCAACCGAUUAUUUAAUAGUCAAAACUUUCAACAACGGAUCUCUUGGUUCUCGCAUCGAUGAAGAACGCAGCGAAAUGCGAUAAGUAAUAUGAAUUGCAGAUAUUCGUGAAUCAUCGAAUCUUUGAACGCACAUUGCGCCCUUUGGUAUUCCAAAGGGCAUGCCUGUUUGAGCGUCAUUUCUCCCUCAAACCCUCGGGUUUGGUGUUGAGCGAUACGCUGGGUUUGCUUGAAAGAAAGGCGGAGUAUAAACUAAUGGAUAGGUUUUUUCCACUCAUUGGUACAAACUCCAAAACUUCUUCCAAAUUCGACCUCAAAUCAGGUAGGACUACCCGCUGAACUUAAGCAUAUCAAUAAGCGGAGGA
rnacentral:rRNA from 1 species